CCUACGGGUGGCAGCAGUAGGGAAUAUUGCGCAAUGGGGGAAACCCUGACGCAGCGACGCCGCGUGAGUGAUGAAGGCCUUCGGGUCGUAAAGCUCUGUCGUAUGGGACUAACACAAUGAAGGUACCAUGCAAGAAAGGAUCGGCUAACUUCGUGCCAGCAGCCGCGGUAAGACGAGGGAUCCUAGCGUUGUUCGGAAUCAUUGGGCGUAAAGCGGGUGUAGGCGGAUUUCUAAGUCAGGUGUGAAAUCCCAGGGCUCAACCCUGGAAGUGCAUUUGAUACUGGAAAUCUUGAGUGUGGUAGAGGCUACUGGAAUUGUUGGUGUAGUGGUGAAAUACGUAGAUAUCAACAGGAAUACCGGAGGCGAAGGCGAGUAGCUGGGCCAACACUGACGCUGAGACCCGAAAGCGUGGGGAUCAAACAGGAUUAGAUACCCCUGUAGUC
rnacentral:rRNA from 1 species